GCUCAGAUUGAACGCUGGCGGCAGGCCUAACACAUGCAAGUCGAGCGGUAGCACAAGAGAGCUUGCUCUCUGGGUGACGAGCGGCGGACGGGUGAGUAAUGUCUGGGAAACUGCCUGAUGGCGGGGGAUAACUAGUGGAAACGGUAGCUAAUACCGCAUAACGUCGCAAGACCAAAGUGGGGGCCCUUCGGGCCUCACGCCAUCAGAUGUGCCCAGGUGGGAUUAGCUGGUAGGUGGGGUAACGGCUCACCUAGGCGACGAUCCCUAGCUGGUCUGAGAGGAUGACCAGCCACACUGGAACUGAGACACGGUCCAGACUCCUACGGGAGGCAGCAGUGGGGAAUAUUGCACAAUGGGCGCAAGCCUGAUGCAGCCAUGCCGCGUGUGUGAAGAAGGCCUUCGGGUUGUAAAGCACUUUCAGCGAGGAGGAAGGGUAAUGUGUUA
rnacentral:rRNA from 1 species